rnacentral:rRNA from 1 species
UUAAAUUGAAGAGUUUGAUCAUGGCUCAGAUUGAACGCUGGCGGCAGGCCUAACACAUGCAAGUCGAACGGUAACAGGAAGCAGCUUGCUGCUUUGCUGACGAGUGGCGGACGGGUGAGUAAUGUCUGGGAAACUGCCUGAUGGAGGGGGAUAACUACUGGAAACGGUAGCUAAU